GGAUGUGGGGGGAAUCUGUCUGUAACAUCUAUCACCCCAUUGAUGGCCAGGCUCAAUUUGGCUGAUCUGGCUGGCUAGGCAAAUGUGCCCGCCUCCCCCCCCUCACUGCUCCAUGUGCAUCCUUCUCAAAACUACACACUCUGUCAAAGAGUACAACCUUCUCCAAACAGAGAAAGGCCACUCUUGAGUUGAGGGUAUAUGCUUAGCUGUGCUACCCUGCUAGAACCUCCAAACAAGCUCUCAAGGCCUAAAGUUACUGUGACAUUACAUAAAAUAGUAUUGCCAACCUACCACUUUA
ensembl:misc_RNA 7SK 7SK RNA